rnacentral:rRNA from 1 species
GGGGGCCCGCAAGCGGUGGAGUAUGUGGUUUAAUUCGACGCAACGCGCAGAACCUUACCUGGUCUUGACAUCGCGAGAUCGCUGCAGAGAUGUAGCUUUGCCUUCGGGCACUCGUAGACAGGUGCUGCAUGGCUGUCGUCAGCUCGUGUUGUGAAAUGUUCGGUUAAGUCCGGCAACGAGCGCAACCCCUGUCCUUAGUUACCAUCAUUAAGUUGGGGACUCUAGGGAGACUGCCGGUGUUAAACCGGAGGAAGGCGGGGAUGACGUCAAGUCCUCAUGGCCCUUACGACCAGGGCUACACACGUACUACAAUGGCGAAAACAAACCGCUGCAAACUCGUAAGAGCAAGCUAAUCGGAAAAACAUCGUCUCAGUCCGGAUUGAAGUCUGCAACUCGACUUCAUGAAGUUGGAAUCGCUAGUAAUCGCAGAUCAGCACGCUGCGGUGAAUACGUUCCCGGGCCUUGUACACACC